UUGACUUAGUUAUUAUAAAUAUAAGGAUAACGCCGUAGGAUGGCACUCUGUAUUGAACACAGUAAAUAAGCGAAUAUUACUACAGGGUGGAAAUGCGUGUAUGAUUUUUAACGUACGGGUGCCGGAGUAACGUGCCUAUUAAAACGCCGUGUAAUAUUGUUUGUUUUAACUUGUUUUAACGCCGUAAUUCAAUUAUAAGUACGUAUAUACGUUUUAUGUUCUGAACGUUGUCUGUACACUACAUACCCGCCCACUAUUGUGUAAUAUGAUCAAAAAGUGACUACCCCUGAAACCAUCAAAUUAUUUCCGAAAAGUUACUAUAAAGUUGUUCGGCGUUUUGAUGGUGAAUCCUCGUUCGAGUAUAUAAUAUAUAGUACACCUACAGAUUUAAUGUGCCACGUUAAAACUAAAUUGCAGUGAGAGUUACGCGUUUACAACGUUAACAUGUUAUAAAACGCAUUGUAUUUUACGGCGAGUUUAAAGUUUCGCAAACUAAUUAUUAUAUUUCAUUAUAAUUGGGAGCGAGUUGAGCAAAACUGAUUUUAUUCGCGCAUAUUUCACGAACAUUAAGGAAUCAUAAUAUUAUAACAAUGUGAAACGCAAAAUGAUUAGCGUUUCCCCAUUUCGAGCAUGCGGCAAUUGAAAAUAAACAAAAUUAUAUUUACAGACGUUAACAUUGGCCCCGUCCGGGGAAAAUUAAUUUCGCAGACACGAUACCGCAAACAAAGAGCCGGUGCUUCUCACGAGUGCUUCCCUGCUGUAGCAUGGUAAGUCGGGAAAGGUGGUAGGUAGGAUACGUAGAUAUAUAGUUUUAUACACAUAUAUAUAUAUAUAUUUAUUCCACGCGGUAAAUCGUUUCUAACGAAAUAAGAUUCUGAGCGGUUUUCGUCGAAAUUUGAACUUAAAGGCAUAUAUAAAAAAAAAAAAAAAACUAACCAUUACGCAUGUUAACAUUAAAAUACGUUUUAUGAUGAACCUCGUGUUCAAUUUUCAAACAUUUUGGCCACGGGUUCACGUGGCAUUAUUGAAAUUGAUUUGGUGUUCAAUUUUAUGUGAUAUUAAAUUUGUGUUUUUUAUUAAAAUUAUAAUUUUAAUACGGUGUUUCAAUGAAAUUAUGUACAAAUCAUUCAGAUUAUCAUCAGUUUUGAUAUUAUCAUAUUAACCUUUCACUUAACGUCCAUAAAAUAUAGAUCAAUAUAGAUAAUUUUUUUAAACUCAAUGAUUUUAGAUACCUACCAAAUUCCACGCAAAUUAACUUUCAGGGAUGAUACUUGAAGUUUAUCUCCUGCCCGGUGUCUCACGAUGCACUUGGUUUUUAUGUUU